rnacentral:rRNA from 1 species
CACGUAGGGCGCAAGCGUUGUCCGGAAUUAUUGGGCGUAAAGAGCUCGUAGGCGGUCUGUUGCGUCCGCUGUGAAAACUCGGGGCUUAACCCCGAGCCUGCAGUGGGUACGGGCAGACUAGAGUGCGGUAGGGGAGACUGGAAUUCCUGGUGUAGCGGUGAAAUGCGCAGAUAUCGAGGAAGAACACCAAUGGCGAAAGCAGCUCUCUGGGACGGUACUGACGCUGAGACGCGAAAGCGUGGGGAGCGAACGGG